rnacentral:rRNA from 1 species
AGAGUGAACGCUGGCGGUAGGCCUAACACAUGCAAGUCGAACGGCAGCACAGGAGAGCUUGCUCUCUGGGUGGCGAGUGGCGGACGGGUGAGGAAUACAUCGGAAUCUACCUUUUCGUGGGGGAUAACGUAGGGAAACUUACGCUAAUACCGCAUAAGACCUUCGGGUGAAAGCCGGGGACCUUCGGGCCUGGCGCGGAUAGAUGAGCCGAUGUCGGAUUAGCUUGUUGGCGGGGUAAAAGCCCACCAAGGCGACGAUCCGUAGCUGGUCUGAGAGGAUGAUCAGCCACACUGGAACUGAGACACGGUCCAGACCUCCGUACGGGAGGCAGCGAGUGGGGAAUA